GUGACUACUAUCACAAAAAUGUUAAUUUUAUGUUUGCAAUUAUAAGUACUUUUUUGUGUUUAAUUUUAAAUUUAAAUAUUUUUGCGCAAUUUCAGUCAAUAUUCUGAGUAUUAAUCAAGUAAUAUUCCUUUAACUAUUCGCUUUAAUUAUAGAAAAUCCGAUAAGAAAGUUGGUUCGAUUCUCAAAAAGAAAACAAAAAUUUGUGGUGUGCGAUAAACCCAAAAAGGGUAGAAAGGGGUCAAAGAGAUUUAUAUCAAUAAUAAUUUACAUAAAAUAUGUUUUAGGUCACUUUGUUCUCAAAAGUGUGUUAUAGUUUGUUAGAAAACUUGUGUUUCAUUCUGAGAAUUAUAAGCAUUAUAAGCAAGAUGGUUAGGACAUGCUGAGAGAAGCUUUUCAGCAAUUGAUUCUCCAUUGUUUGAUCAAUGGAAAAUGGCCGCAAGGAAUGCUUCUUUGAUUAGCAUGAGCAACGAGCAUAUCAAAAGAAAUGUGGUUUGUAAUCUUCAUUUUGCAGAUAAUUACAAUAAAAGACCUAACUUCUACACUUAUGAAAUGCCAAAGUUAACUGAAAAUAUUAUGGAAGAUCCAGAAAUGGAUAUUGAUAAAAUUCAUGCAAAUACCCAUAUGAAAGAUACAAUGCAAGAAGUGGUUGAAAUUGAUAAUUUAAAUAUUAGAAAACGAAAAAGGAUCACUUGAUCAAAAAAUUAUGUAAGGGAACAUAUUGAGUACAUAUACAGUAGAAAAUCUAUUUGAAUUUACUAUACACAAACUGUUUUGGGAGUACAUAGGUGGAAUCAUAAUAUUUUAAAGCAUGAAAGCGAUUGGAUAAACUAAAUUGAGGAAAUGAAGCAUCAAGUAAGCCAAUAAGGGAUCUUAGAUGGUUUAGAUCUUGAAAUGUACCUAGAAAAGAAAAAAAACUAGGAUAUAAUUGACAAAGAUGGAUGUCUCUUUCACACCAAAUUUCUAAUUUCAAUCCGAAGCAAAUUUCGAGAACAUAUUAA